CUCGUAGGUGGUUUGUCGCGUUGUCCGUGAAAACUCACAGCUUAACUGUGGGCGUGCGGGCGAUACGGGCAGACUAGAGUACUGCAGGGGAGACUGGAAUUCCUGGUGUAGCGGUGGAAUGCGCAGAUAUCAGGAGGAACACCGGUGGCGAAGGCGGGUCUCUGGGCAGUAACUGACGCUGAGGAGCGAAAGCGUGGGGAGCGAACA
rnacentral:rRNA from 1 species